GACGGGGGGGGGCAAGCGUUUGUUCGGAAUUAUUGGGCGUAAAGGGCUCGUAGCGGAUCCGCCAGUUUGACGUGAAAUCUCCACCGCUCACCGGGGAGAGGUCGUUGAAUACUACGGAUCUGGAGUUCGGCAGAGGACCAUGGAAUUUCGGGUGUAGCGGUGGAAUGCGUAGAUAUCGGAAGGAACACCAGUGGCGAAAGCGGCUUCCUGGUCCAGCACCGACGUUCAGGCACGAAAGCGUGGGGAGCAAACAGG
rnacentral:rRNA from 1 species